GCCUGAGGGGGCGGGGCCUGAAGCCCCAUACAAUCAGGGGCGCUGGGGUGGGGACCCGUCAAUCAGGCGCGCCGCCGGAAAGGAGAGGGCGGCUUCCGGGAUCCGGCUGGCGGGCGCUUUGUCUGGCCUUCGUCACCGUAGGCUCUUCCUGUGAGUCUCCGCUGCUACUUCCUGGUUCUGGGAGGCCCGGUGGCUCUGCAGCAGCCUCGGCCACCCUGUGACCUGCGGGUAUUGGGACAUCCCUAGCUGACGCCGGGACACCCGGGAAGCCGAGGAACGGACUCCGUGGCUUUUGAGGAUGUGGCUGUGAACUUUAGCCAGCAGGAAUGGGCUUUGCUAGAUUCUUCUCAGAAGAAUCUCUACAGAGAAGUGAUGCAGGAAACCUGCAGGAACCUGGCUUCUGUAGAAAUCAUAUGGCACAGAGACUGCGUGAAAGCAAAGAAGGUAGUCAGUAUGGACAAGUUGUCAGCCUCAUUCCAAAUCUUGAUCUGAAUGAGAACAUUUCUACUGGAUUAAAACAAUGUGAAUGCAGUAUUUGUGGAAAAGUCUUUGUACAUCAUUCCCUCCUUAACAGGCACAUCCUAGCUCACUCAGGAUACAAACCAUAUGGAGAGAAGCAAUAUAAAUGUGAACAGUGUGGGAAACUCUUCGUUUCUGUUCUGGGUGUUAGAAGACACAGGAUAAUGCACAGUGGAAAUCCAGUUAUAAAUGUACGAUAUGUGGGAAAGCUUUUCAUUUUCUCAAGUCAGUUGAAAGACAUCAGAGAACUCACACAGGAGAAAAAUCCUAUAAAUGUAAACAAUGUGGUAAAGCAUUCACUGUUUCCGGUUCUUGUCUAAUACAUGGACGAACUCACACUGGAGAGAAACCCUACGAAUGUAAGGAAUGUGGGAAAACAUUUUUUGUUCUUUUAAGAUGCAUGAAAGGACUCAAUACUGGAGAAAGAUGUACCAAAUGUGAUAGAGCCUUCAGCUGUUCCACUUCCCUUCAUGACCAUGGAAGCAUUCAUACUGGAGAGAGACCCUAUGAAUGUAAACAAUGUGGCAAAGCC